GAUGAACGCUGGCGGCGUGCCUAAUACAUGCAAGUCGAGCGAACAGACGAGGAGCUUGCUCCUCUGACGUUAGCGGCGGACGGGUGAGUAACACGUGGAUAACCUACCUAUAAGACUGGGAUAACUUCGGGAAACCGGAGCUAAUACCGGAUAAUAUAUUGAACCGCAUGGUUCAAUAGUGAAAGACGGUUUUGCUGUCACUUAUAGAUGGAUCCGCGCCGCAUUAGCUAGUUGGUAAGGUAACGGCUUACCAAGGCAACGAUGCGUAGCCGACCUGAGAGAGUGAUCGGCCGCACUGGAACUGAGACACGGUCCAGACUCCUACGGGAGGCAGCAGUAGGGAAUCGUCCGCAGUGGGCGAAAGCCUGACGGAGCAACGCCGCGUGAGUGAUGAAGGUCUUCGGAUCGUAAAACUCUGUUAUUAGGGAAGAACAAAUGUGUAAGUAACUAUGCACGUCUUGACGGUACCUAAUCAGAAAGCCACGGCUAACUACGUG
rnacentral:rRNA from 1 species